rnacentral:rRNA from 1 species
UACGGGGGGGGCAAGCGUUGUUCGGAAUUACUGGGCGUAAAGGGCUCGUAGGCGGCCAACUAAGUCGGAUGUGAAAUCCCCAAGCUUAACUUGGGAACUGCAUCCGAUACUGGAUGGCUUGAAUCCGGGAGAGGGAUGCAGAAUUCCAGGUGUAGCGGCGAAAUGCGUAGAUAUCUGGAGGAAUACCGGUGGCGAAGGCGGCAUCCUGGACCGGCAUUGACGCUGAGGAGCGAAAGCGUGGGGAGCAAACAGG